GUGGGGAAUCUUGCGCAAUGGACGAAAGCCUGACGCAGCCAUGUCGCGUGGAUGAUGAAGGUCUUAGGAUUGUAAAAUCCUUUCACCGGUGAAGAUAAUGACUGUAGCCGGAGAAGAAGCCCCGGCUAACUUCGUGCCAGCAGCCGCGGUAAUACGAAGGGGGCUAGCGUUGCUCGGAUUUACUGGGCGUAAAGGGCGCGUAGGCGGACAUUUAAGUCAGGGGUGAAAUCCCGGGGCUCAACCUCGGAACUGCCUUUGAUACUGGGUGUCUUGAGUAUGAGAGAGGUGUGUGGAACUCCGAGUGUAGAGGUGAAAUUCGUAGAUAUUCGGAAGAACACCAGUGGCGAAGGCGACACACUGGCUCAUUACUGACGCUGAGGCGCGAAAGCGUGGGGAGCAAACAGGAUUAGAUACCCCUGUAGUCC
rnacentral:rRNA from 1 species